CCUACGGGUGGCAGCAGUGAGGAAUAUUGGUCAAUGGGCGCGAGCCUGAACCAGCCAAGUCGCGUGAGGGAAGACGGUCCUAUGGAUUGUAAACCUCUUUUGUCGGGGAGCAAAAGCCGCCACGCGUGGCGUUCCGAGAGUACCCGAAGAAAAAGCAUCGGCUAACUCCGUGCCAGCAGCCGCGGUAAUACGGAGGAUGCGAGCGUUAUCCGGAUUUAUUUGUUUUAAAGGGUGCGCAGGCGGAAGAUCAAGUCAGCGGUAAAAGUGAGAGGCACAACCUCUUCGAGACGUUGAAACUGGUAUUCAUGAGUGUGAGAGAAGUAUGCGGAAUGCGAGGUGUAGCGGGGAAAUGCAGAGAUAUCACGCAGAACUCCGAUUGCGAAGGCAGCAUAACGGCGCUAAACUGACGCUCAUGCACGAAAGUGUGGGUAUCGAACAGGAUUAGAUACCCUUGUAGUC
rnacentral:rRNA from 1 species